UACGGGGGGGGGCAAGCGUUGUUCGGAAUUAUUGGGCGUAAAGGGUGCGUAGGCGGCAUGAUAAGUUAUUGGCGGCAAAUCGAGGCUCAACCUCGUGGAAACUAAUAAUACUGUCUUGCUUGAGUGCAGAAGAGGUUAACGGAACUCCAUGUGGAGCGGUAAAAUGUGUAGAUAUAUGGAAGAACAUCAAUAACGGCGAAGGCAGUUAACUAUUCUGUUACUGACGUUGAGGCACGAAAGCGUGGGGAGCAAAAGG
rnacentral:rRNA from 1 species